AUGACUUUGAUCAGCGUCUUCAUCUGCACACUGGCCCUCUGGACUCAAGGAUCCAGAGGUCAGGUGACUGUGACUCAGACUCCUUCAGUGCAAACUGUUGAUCCAGAAGAAACCUUCAACUGUAGAAUCAGUAGCAGUGUGCUUCAUGGUAACCGUCUCGCCUGGUACCUGCAGAAACCUGGAGAAGCUCCUAAACUCCUGAUCUACGGGGCUACUAACUUACAGUCAGGAACUCCAGCUCGUUUCAGUGGCAGUGGAUCUAAUACUGACUUCACUCUGACCAUCAGAGGAGUCCAGACUGAAGAUGCAGGAGAUUACUACUGUUAG